GACGAAUGCUGGCGGCGUGCUUAACACAUGCAAGUCGAACGGAAAGGCCCUGCUUUUGUGGGGUGCUCGAGUGGCGAACGGGUGAGUAACACGUGGGUAACCUGCCCUUGACUUUGGGAUAACUUCAGGAAACUGGGGCUAAUACCGGAUAGGAGCUCCUGCUGCAUGGUGGGGGUUGGAAAGUUUCGGCGGUUGGGGAUGGACUCGCGGCUUAUCAGCUUGUUGGUGGGGUAGUGGCUUACCAAGGCUUUGACGGGUAGCCGGCCUGAGAGGGUGACCGGCCACAUUGGGACUGAGAUACGGCCCAGACUCCUACGGGAGGCAGCAGUGGGGAAUAUUGCACAAUGGGCGGAAGCCUGAUGCAGCAACGCCGCGUGCGGGAUGACGGCCUUCGGGUUGUAAACCGCUUUCGCCUGUGACGAAGCGUGAGUGACGGUAAUGGGUAAAGAAGCACCGGCUAACUACGUG
rnacentral:rRNA from 1 species